rnacentral:rRNA from 1 species
CAGGCCUAACACAUGCAAGUCGAGGGGCAGCGCGAGGUAGCAAUACUUUGGCGGCGACCGGCGGAAGGGUGCGUAACGCGUGAGCAACAUGCCCGUAUGAGGGGGAUAAGCGAUGGAAACGUCGUCUAAUACCCCGUAACACAGGAGAUCGCAUGAUCAUCUGUUGAAAGAUUUAUCGCAUACGGAUUGGCUCGCGUGACAUUAGCUAGUCGGCGGGGUAACGGCCCACCGAGGCGACGAUGUCUAGGGAUUCUGAGAGGAAAGUCCCCCACACUGGUACUGAGACACGGACCAGACUCCUACGGGAGGCAGCAGUGAGGAAUAUUGGUCAAUGGUCGCAAGACUGAACCAGCCAAGUAGCGUGCAGGACGACGGCCCUACGGGUUGUAAACUGCUUUUAUGCGGGGAUAACCGGCGGCACUUGUGCCGCCCUGCAGGUACCGCAUGAAUAAGGACCGGCUAAUUCCGUGCCAGCAGCCGCGGUAAUACGGAAGGUCCGGGCGUUAUCCGGAUUUAUUGGGUUUAAAGGGAGCGCAGGCGGGAGUCUAAGCGUGCCGUGAAAAGCUGUGGCUCAACCACAGUCGUGCGGCGCGAACUGGUCUUCUUGAGUUCACGGUAAGCGGGCGGAAUUCGUGGUGUAGCGGUGAAAUGCUUAGAUAUCACGAGGAACCCCGAUUGCGAAGGCAGCCCGCUGCAGUGUUACUGACGCUCAUGCUCGAAGGCGCGGGUAUCGAACAGGAUUAGAUACCCUGGUAGUCCGCGCGGUAAACGAUGGAUGCCCGCUGUGCGCCCCUGAGGGUGCGCGGCCAAGCGAAAGCGUUAAGCAUCCCACCUGGGGAGUACGCCGGCAACGGUGAAACUCAAAGGAAUUGACGGGGGCCCGCACAAGCGGAGGAACAUGUGGUUUAAUUCGAUAAUACGCGAGGAACCUUACCCGGGCUUGAACUGCAGAGGAAGGAUCUGGAGACAGUGACGCCCUUCGGGGUCUCUGCGGAGGUGCUGCAUGGUUGUCGUCAGCUCGUGCCGUGAGGUGUCGGCUUAAGUGCCAUAACGAGCGCAACCCCUCUCCCCGGUUGCCAUCAGGUGAUGCUGGGCACUCCGUGGACACUGCCGCCGCAAGGUGGAGGAAGGUGGGGAUGACGUCAAAUCAGCACGGCCCUUACGUCCGGGGCUACACACGUGUUACAAUGGGGGGCACAGCGUGCCGGCGCGUCGCAAGGUGCGUCCAAUCAUGAAAUCCCCCCUCAGUUCGGACUGGGGUCUGCAACCCGACCCCACGAAGCUGGAUUCGCYAGUAAUSGCGCAUCAGCCAUGGCGCGGUGAAUACGUUCCCGG